CGUAGAUUUUGCACCAGUUUGUAACUCCCAUCAGGAAUGAGAGGGAGCCUGCUCCCCACACCUCCAUGAACACACGCUCUUGUCAAGCUCUCUGGUCUUUGGCCAUCCAAUGGUCAGGAAGUGGUAUCCCAUGGUUUAAUUUGCCCUCCAAGUACAAUUGUGCCUAUUUUCAUGUUUUAGGACACUCUGAAUACUCUUUCCUAGGCAAUGAUUCUUCCUAUCCUUUGCCUGUUUCUCCAUUGGUUUGUUGGACUAUGUCAUUUUGAUUUAUAGCAGCUCUUUACAUAUUUGACUUGGCAGGCCUUGGUCUGUGAUAUGAAUUGCAAAUAUUUUUUGGCAGCUUGUCAUUUGUUUUUUGACUUUGCUUAUUGCUAAUUCGUCCUCCUGUAUUUGUUCGUUUGCCCACGUAGAAAUUUUUUAUGGAGUUAAAUUCACCAACUGUUUCUCUUAUGGCUUUUGGGUUUUGUAUCAUGGUUUUAAAGAGGCUUCCCUGUGCUGAUGUCACCAGAGAAUUCUCUUCCGGUUUCCUCCGAUAAAUGUAUUGUUCUACAUUCUGCAUUGAAAUCUUUGAUCCAUUUGAAAUGUAUGCUGGUGUAAGACAUCUGACCCAACUCGCCAGUCUGCUCUUCUGUGGUAUCGUCAUUCACUACCACCCAACCUGAGCCCUUUAAAGAUGUAGGGAUCAUUCUGGAUGCCUGAUUCCAGGAAGGAUGAGGAGAAUUAAUGACACAUGGACCAAACGGUGAACAGCAAUCAGGGUGUUACCUCCCUAUUCCAUCUUUGCUUGAUUUUUUUUUUUAAACUAUACUUCUUCCCAUAAAGCCAUAGGCCAUAAUUAUGUCAUACAAGCACCUGAAUAAAAAUCACUUUAAAGUA